GGGGGCGAAUUGGAUUCGACCGGAUAGCCUGAAGCGCUGUUGGCGUGUCGUGGUUGGUCAGUUGGCCACGUUAAAAGCUGACCACACAGUAUCUGCAGAAGAUACCUACGCACUGGCUGCCUAAUUAGGCAACCCUGGCUGCGGGGGCCCGCCGGAAGCGCCCAAAAGCCAGUUGCAAAUCCGGAUCGCUAACCGUCAUGCUAGGCACGCGGGAAGCUAAAAAAAGUUCUUAGCUGGUUGGCCGAGUACCCCGUUGCCAGGGGACGAGGCUGACGAGACUUUAAAUUGGCAACUACACACGUAGAAGGCAUCGUGGAAAUAUCUCGGGACGGGGGUUCGAUUCCCCCCGCCUCCAUUG
rnacentral:tmRNA from 2 species